AUUGAACGCUGGCGGCAGGCCUAACACAUGCAAGUCGAGCGGAAGAAGGGUACUUGCUUCUUCUUACAGCUGCCGAGGGGCGGGUGAGGGCGAGAAAUCUCCGAAUCUACUGUGUAGUGCGGGCUAAAACAGGGAAAAAUACGCUAUUACCGCAUACGGCCUAAGGGUGGAAUCAUGGGACCUUAGGCUAUCAGACGAGCCGAUGUCGGAUUAGCUAGUUGGUGGGGUAAAGGCCUACCAAGGCGACGAUCCGUAGCUGGUCUGAGAGGAUGAUCAGCCACACUGGAACUGAGACACGGUCCAGACUCCUACGGGAGGCAGCAGUGGGGAAUAUUGGACAAUGGGCGCAAGCCUGAUCCAGCCAUACCGCGUGGGUGAAGAAGGCCUUCGGGUUGUAAAGCCCUUUUGUUGGGAAAGAAAAGCAGCAGGUUAAUACCCCGCUGUUCUGACGGUACCAAAAGAAUAAGCACCGGCUAACUUCGUG
rnacentral:rRNA from 1 species